rnacentral:rRNA from 1 species
UGGGGAAUUUUGCGCAAUGGGGGAAACCCUGACGCAGCAACGCCGCGUGGAGGAUGAAAUCCCUUGGGAUGUAAACUCCUUUCGAUAGGGAAGAUAAUGACGGUACCUAUAGAAGAAGCCCCGGCUAACUUCGUGCCAGCAGCCGCGGUAAUACGAGGGGGGCAAGCGUUGUUCGGAAUUAUUGGGCGUAAAGGGUGCGUAGGCGGUUUGACAAGUCUCAUGUGAAAUCUUCGGGCUCAACUCGAAGUCUGCAUGGGAAACUGUCGGGCUUGAGUAUGGGAGAGGUGAGUGGAAUUUCCGGUGUAGCGGUGAAAUGCGUAGAUAUCGGAAGGAACACCUGUGGCGAAAGCGGCUCACUGGACCAUAACUGACGCUGAGGCACGAAAGCUAGGGGAGCAAAC